AGAGUUUGAUCCUGGCUCAGGAUGAACGCUGGCGGCGUGCCUAACACAUGCAAGUCGAGCGAUUCUCUUCGGAGAAGAGCGGCGGACGGGUGAGUAACGCGUGGGUAACCUGCCCUGUACACACGGAUAACAUACCGAAAGGUAUGCUAAUACGAGAUAAUAUACUUUUAUCGCAUGGUAGAAGUAUCAAAGCUCCGGCGGUACAGGAUGGACCCGCGUCUGAUUAGCUAGUUGGUAAGGUAACGGCUUACCAAGGCGACGAUCAGUAGCCGACCUGAGAGGGUGAUCGGCCACAUUGGAACUGAGACACGGUCCAAACUCCUACGGGAGGCAGCAGUGGGGAAUAUUGCACAAUGGGCGAAAGCCUGAUGCAGCAACGCCGCGUGAGCGAUGAAGGCCUUCGGGUCGUAAAGCUCUGUCCUCAAGGAAGAUAAUGACGGUACUUGAGGAGGAAGCCCCGGCUAACUACGUGCCAGCAGCCGCGGUAAUACGUAGGGGGCUAGCGUUAUCCGGAAUUACUGGGCGUAAAGGGUGCGUAGGUGGUUUCUUAAGUCAGAGGUGAAAGGCUACGGCUCAACCGUAGUAAGCCUUUGAAACUGGGAAACUUGAGUGCAGGAGAGGAGAGUGGAAUUCCUAGUGUAGCGGUGAAAUGCGUAGAUAUUAGGAGGAACACCAGUUGCGAAGGCGGCUCUCUGGACUGUAACUGACACUGAGGCACGAAAGCGUGGGGAGCAAACAGGAUUAGAUACCCUGGUAGUCCACGCCGUAAACGAUGAGUA
rnacentral:rRNA from 1 species